GACGAACGCUGGCGGCGUGCUUAACACAUGCAAGUCGAACGGUAAGGGGGUUCGGGGUACACGAGUGGCGAACGGGUGAGUAACACGUGGGUGAUCUGCCCUGCACUUCGGGAUAAGCCUGGGAAACUGGGUCUAAUACCGGAUAGGACUCCGGACUGCAUGGUCUGGGGUGGAAAGCUUUUGCGGUGUGGGAUGGGCCCGCGGCCUAUCAGCUUGUUGGUGGGGUGAUGGCCUACCAAGGCGACGACGGGUAGCCGGCCUGAGAGGGUGACCGGCCACACUGGGACUGGGAUACGGCCCAGACUCCUACGGGAGGCAGCAGUGGGGAAUAUUGCACAAUGGGCGCAAGCCUGAUGCAGCGACGCCGCGUGAGGGAUGACGGCCUUCGGGUUGUAAACCUCUUUCAGCAUCGACGAAGCGAAAGUGACGGUAGGUGCAGAAGAAGGACCGGCCAACUACGUGCCAGCAGCCGCCGCCG
rnacentral:rRNA from 1 species